rnacentral:rRNA from 1 species
GACGAACGCUGGCGGCGUGCUUAACACAUGCAAGUCGAGCGGUAAGGCCCUUUCGGGGGUACACGAGCGGCGAACGGGUGAGUAACACGUGGGUGACCUGCCCUCAGCUCUGGGAUAAGCCUGGGAAACUGGGUCUAAUACCGGAUAUGACUCCAUGACGCAUGUUGUGGGGUGGAAAGCCUUGUGCGGCUGAGGAUGGGCCCGCGGCCUAUCAGCUUGUUGGUGGGGUGAUGGCCUACCAAGGCGACGACGGGUAGCCGGCCUGAGAGGGCGACCGGCCACACUGGGACUGAGAUACGGCCCAGACUCCUACGGGAGGCAGCAGUGGGGAAUCUUGCGCAAUGGGCGAAAGCCUGACGCAGCGACGCCGCGUGAGGGAUGACGGCCUGGUGUAACU